ACGGGAUAGUGAUCAUUACUUUAGAUAUAUAUAUAUGGUUAGCGCUGAUAUAGGAGAUAGUGGGUAAUUAAGAACGGAAAAUAUUGCAUAUACAGAAUUUUAAAAUGAAAUAUGAAAACAUGGAGGGAACUUCUUAACUUUUGAAAACAUUCCAAGAACAAUUUAAAUAUUCGUAUUUUUAAUAAUGUAUUCGUGUUUAGCUUGAAUAUUUCAUGUAGUAAAGUUCUGAUCCUUGAUUGUUCCUGCAAAAAAAAAAGAAGAUGAAGAUCAUUCAGUGUCAAUGAAGAGAAGAAACAAAGAAGAAGAAGAAGUAUUAUGUCGAGAAGAAGAAAUCGAAGAAGGAGAAAGAAAAGUCAAGAGGCAAAGUCAACUAAAGAAGAAGAUGGGCUUACUGAGUACAGUGGGCCUACGAAGAAUAAAGGGGCUUCGGUUUCACCAGGCCCAGAAGAAAGAGUCUUGUUAAGAAGUCUGCAAAAGAGGCAAGUAGAAACUGCAAGAGUGGUUAGAGUCUAAGUAGUCGUAGUAGUUAAGUGUAAUGAUCAAUAUAGUGUGGCUUGUGUAAGGGAGUCUAAGUUCUAGAGUUAAGGUGUUAGAACAGUAAGGAAAAGAAAGUAGUAGUUGGCGACAACUCUAUAUGUAUGAGAGAAGAAGAAGAAUGUAAGAGUGUAAGAAAAAUGUAUGAAAAAUUAGAUAAAUGAGAAUGAGUGUUAAAGAAAAACAAGUUGUCAAAAGAAAGAAAACAAACCUGUGAGAUCAAAAGAGAGAAUCACAACAUGGUAUCAGAGCUCUAGUUGUUCUCGGAACCUGUUGAAGAAGGCACAAGAAAGAAGAAAUCAAAAGGGAGAAGAGAAAGUGAAGAUCAAAGAUGUCGAUCAACCUACAAUCAUCUCAAACGGUUGCCGUAUUUAAUGGACAGAACUAUGAGUUCUGGGCAGCAAGGAUGCGGACAACUCUGAUGAACAAGGAGUUAUGGGAGGUUGUCAAGGAAGGACCUCCAGAUCCACUAUCAAAAGCACUUGAAACACCAGGAGGAGAUAAGUCAAAAGAAGCUGCAAACCUGCGGAUGCUCAAAGCUAAGGACACAGCUGCACUCCAAAUCAUUCAAUAUGCCGUAGCUGAUGUCAUCUUUGACAAAAUUCUUUCUGCAACAACAGCAAAACAGGCUUGGGAUCUCCUGGAACAUUCCUAUCAAGGUAAUGCAAAAGUGAAAAUGGUUAGGUUACAAUCAUUAAGAAGAGAGUUUGAGAACUUGAAAAUGAAAGAAGGAGAAAAAGUGAAGGCAUAUUCUGAUAGGAUACAAGCUGUAGCAAAUCAAAUGAGAGCUCUAGGUGGAGAUAGAUCAAACUUUGAUUUGGUAGUUAUAAUGUUAGCAUAUAUGCCUAAGAGCUAUGCAGGCUUAUCCUCUCUGAUGGAAGAAACCAAGGAUCUCAACACAGUUACUUACGCAGAGCUGGUAGGAUCCCUAGAAGCACAUGAAAAGAAAAUUUUCCCUGAUGAUGAAGAAGAAGCAGAAGAAGCUUUUCUUGCAAGAUUCAGAAACCCAAAUGUAGAGGACAAGAGUAAUGGAGUAUCCGGACAAAUGAGCUACAAAAGAAAAAGAUGGUGCGGGUUCUGUAAAAGGGACAAUCACAAUGAAGAUGUGUGUUACUUCAAGAAUGGAAGAAACGGGCCAGAAUUGAACAGAAACAAAGACACAAGAAGUUGUUAUAACUGUGGCAAGCUUGGUCAUUUUGCAAGAGACUGCAGAAACAAGAGGUCUGAACAAGCACAAGCAACUCAAGAAGAAAAAGAAGAAGAGGAAGAGUACCAUAUGUUUUCUUCAAGACAAGAAGAUCAAAAACCUGUUGAAGAAAACAUUUGGCUCAUUGAUAGUGGUUGCACAAACCACAUGACCCCAAAUGAGAAGCUGUUCACGAUACUUGACACAAGUUUCAAAGUUCCAAUUCAAGUUGGUGAUGGAACGACACUGAUGACCAAAGGAAGAGGAGACAUUGAAGUCAUGACAAAGAAGGGCAAGAGAAUCAUUGGAAAUGUUUUUCUAGUCCCUAAAAUUGCUAAGAAUCUUCUAAGUGUUUCUCAGAUGAUUGCAAAUGGAUAUGCAGUUACCUUUAAGCAAAGAAGCUGCAUCAUCCAUGAUAAAUUUGGGAGAAAGAUAGCUGAACUGGAAAUAGCAAAGAAGAGUUUUCAUCUUCAUUUGCCCUUGAGUGAAGGAAUAGCAAAUGCAGUGUCAAAGGAAGAGGCUGAAUCUAGUUAUCAAGGAGCUGGAUAUGCUGAAGUCAGAAACCCAGAAGAGUUUAAACCAUGGAAGAGCGUGCAGUAUCAUAAGAAGAAACUGAUGAUCAAUGUUGAGAAUCAAAGCAACAUCAAGUCAGACAAGAGAGAAUCAGAAGUUAAGAAUGUCAAGGAAGUGGUUCAAGGAACCAAACUGAACCGGAUAGUGAUCAAAAGUGAUACAAAUCAACAAAAAGAAGAUUUAUCUUUGAAGGAGAAAGAGCAGAAGCUGAUUGACGAGAUGAUCGGCCGAAACGCAAAGAGAGCUCAGAGAAGCAUCAAAGUAAACAAAGAGGAGACCCAAGAGAGAAUUAAGAGGACCCAAGAGGAAAAUAACAGAGAGUUCAAGUGUCAGAACACAGAGACAUCGGACAAAAAUGAAGCAAGUCUUAAAUUGAAGCAGGAAAUUCAAAGCCAAAGCCGAAGGGAGGUAAGAGAAUUACCUGUUAGAGAGGAACCCAGAAGCGCUAAGAAGGAUGGAGGGAGCAGAGACUCCUCAGCUAAGAACCUGCAGAAAGAGGAGAAGCAGAAAUCAAUUAAACUCAAAGAGAAAAUGGUUCAAGAGGGAGCUGAGAAUUAUAAAGGAGAAGAGGAAGCUGAACCAACAAAAAUUCAGAGCAAGAAGGAGAUCGAGAAAUCAUGCUUACCCAGGAGCUAUGCAAACGUCUUGAUGAGUGCUCCUCAACCGAAUAAAGGAACAAGCAGAGAAGAAUCAAAGGGAUCAAAAUUCAAAACCCUAAAUUGGAAUCGGGAACCAAUCAAGGCUCAAGAGGGAGUGUUGAGUUCUGAUCCUUGAUUGUUCCUGCAAAAAAAAAAGAAGAUGAAGAUCAUUCAGUGUCAAUGAAGAGAAGAAACAAAGAAGAAGAAGAAGUAUUAUGUCGAGAAGAAGAAAUCGAAGAAGGAGAAAGAAAAGUCAAGAGGCAAAGUCAACUAAAGAAGAAGAUGGGCUUACUUAGUACAGUGGGCCUACGAAGAAUAAAGGGGCUUCGGUUUCACCAGGCCCAGAAGAAAGAGUCUUGUUAAGAAGUCUGCAAAAGAGUCAAGUAGAAACUGCAAGAGUGGUUAGAGUCUAAGUAGUCGUAGUAGUUAAGUGUAAUGUCAAUAUAGUGUGGCUUGUGUAAGGGAGUCUAAGUUCUAGAGUUAAGGUGUUAGAACAGUAAGGAAAAGAAAGUAGUAGUUGGCGACAACUCUAUAUGUAUGAGAGAAGAAGAAGAAUGUAAGAGUGUAAGAAAAAUGUAUGAAAAAUUAGAUAAAUGAGAAUGAGUGUUAAAGAAAAACAAGUUGUCAAAAGAAAGAAAACAAACCUGUGAGAUCAAAAGAGAGAAUCACAACAAAUA
rnacentral:lncRNA from 1 species